rfam:Sphaerobolus stellatus SS14 unplaced genomic scaffold SPHSTscaffold_222, whole genome shotgun sequence.
GCAUUGCUAGCUCAAUAGGUAGAGCGUGAGACUUUUAUGAUUAGUCCUCACAUGUGGACAACAUUAAUACAUAAUAAUCUCCAGGUUGCAGGUUCAACCCCUGCGUGAGGCU